CUUUACUAUCUAUGUAGAUAUUCUUUUGUAUUUUCUUUAAAAUUUUGCAGUUUUAUUCUCUGAUUACCAUACUCUUUAAUUCUACAAAUUCACUGUAGGUCAUUUAAUGUUAAAUCUUUUAGAUUAAUAAUUGGCAGUUUAUUAAAACAUAAAACUCAAAGGAUGGAUAGAAUUGUAUUGUCAUAUACAUGAAUAUAAUUAAUUCACUGAGAAUAUUAAUAUUUACCUUUUUAUUUUCCAGAGGAUCAACCAUUUUCCAGGAAUGGGGGAGAUCUGUAGGAAGGAUUUCUUAGCAAGAAAUAUGACCAAAAUGAUCAAGUCUCGGCCUCUGGAUUAUACCUUUGUUCCUCGAACAUGGAUCUUUCCUGCCGAAUAUACUCAAUUCCAAAAUUAUGUGAAAGAAUUGAAGAAAAAACGGAAGCAGAAAACUUUUAUAGUGAAACCAGCUAAUGGUGCAAUGGGUCAUGGUUUUCUGCAAUGUACUUUUUCAAAGAAAAUGUGGCUGAGGCUGCUUUUAAUAAAAUACACUUGGCCAGGCAUGGUGGCUCAUGCCUGUAAUCCCAGCACUUUGGGAGGCUGAGGCGGGCGGAUCACAAGGACAGGAGAUCUAGACCAUCCUGGCUAACACGGUGAAACCCUGUCUCUACUAAAAAUACAAAAAAUUAGCCGGGCAUGGUGGCGGGCGCCUGCAGUCCCAGCUACUCAGGAGGCUGAGGCAGGAGAAUGGUGUGAACCUGGGAGGCGGAGCUUGCGGUGAGCCAAGAUCCAACCACUGCACUCCAGCCUGGGCGACAGUGCGAGACUCUGUCAAAAAAAAAAAAAAAAAAAAUACACGAGUCAUUUUAAUUUAAAAAUGCUAUAGGAAAAAAGACAUUUGGAAAUAUAGCUACCAGGAUUUCUUUGAUAAGAAAUGGUGACAAACUUCCAUCUCAGGAUCAUUUGAUUGUUCAAGAAUACAUUGAAAAGCCUUUCCUAAUGGAAGGUUACAAGUUUGACUUACGAAUUUAUAUUCUGGUUACAUCGUGUGAUCCACUAAAAAUAUUUCUCUACCAUGAUGGACUUGUGCGAAUGGGUACAGAGAAGUACAUUCCACCUAAUGAGUCCAAUUUGACCCAGUUAUACAUGCAUCUGACAAACUACUCCGUGAACAAGCAUAAUGAGCGUUUUGAACGGGAUGAAACUGAGAACAAAGGCAGCAAACGUUCCAUCAAAUGGUUUACAGAAUUCCUUCAAGCAAAUCAACAUGAUGUUGCUAAGUUUUGGAGUGAUAUUUCAGAAUUGGUGGUAAAGACCCUGAUUGUAGCAGAACCUCAUGUCCUGCAUGCGUAUCGAAUGUGUAGACCUGGUCAACCUCCAGGAAGCGAAAGUGUCUGCUUUGAAGUCCUGGGAUUUGAUAUAUUGUUGGAUAGAAAACUAAAGCCAUGGCUUCUGGAGAUUAACCGAGCCCCAAGCUUUGGAACUGAUCAGAAAAUAGACUAUGAUGUAAAAAGGGGAGUGCUGCUAAAUGCAUUGAAGCUACUAAACAUAAGGACCAGUGACAAAAGGAGAAACUUGGCCAAACAAAAAGCUGAGGCUCAAAGGAGGCUCUAUGGUCAAAAUUCAAUUAAAAGGCUCUUACCAGGCUCCUCAGACUGGGAACAGCAGAGACACCAGUUGGAGAGGCGGAAAGAAGAGUUGAAAGAGAGACUCGCUCAAGUACGAAAGCAGAUCUCACGAGAAGAACAUGAAAAUCGACAUAUGGGGAAUUAUAGACGAAUUUAUCCUCCUGAAGAUAAAGCACUACUUGAAAAGUAUGAAAAUUUGUUAGCCGUUGCCUUUCAGACCUUCCUUUCAGGAAGAGCAGCUUCAUUCCAGCGAGAGUUGAAUAAUCCUUUGAAAAGGAUGAAGAAGAUAUUUUGGAUCUUCUGGAGCAAUGUGAAAUUGAUGAUGAAAAGUUGAUGGGAAAAACUACCAAGAUUCGAGGACCAAAGCCUCUGUGUUCUAUGCCUGAGAGUACUGAGAUAAUGAAAAGACCGAAAUACUGCAGCAGUGACAGCAGUUAUGAUAGUAGCAGCAGCUCUUCAGAAUCUGACGAAAAUGAAAAAGAAGAGUACCAAAAUAAGAAAAGAGAAAAGCAAGUUACAUAUAAUCUUAAACCCUCCAACCACUACAAAUUAAUUCAACAACCCAGCUCCAUAAGACGUUCAGUCAGCUGCCCUCGGUCCAUCUCUGCUCAAUCACCUUCCAGUGGGGACACUCGCCCAUUUUCUGCUCAACAAAUGAUAUCUGUGUCACGGCCAACUUCUGCAUCUCGGUCACAUUCCUUAAACCGUGCUUCCUCCUACGUGAGGCAUCUGCCUCACAGUAAUGAUGCCUGCUCUACCAACUCUCAAGUGAGUGAGUCUUUGCGGCAACUGAAAACAAAAGAACAAGAAGAUGAUCUAACAAGUCAGACCUUAUUUGUUCUCAAGGACAUGAAGAUCCGGUUUCCAGGAAAGUCAGAUGCAGAAUCAGAACUUCUGAUAGAAGAUAUCAUCGAUAACUGGAAGUAUCAUAAAACCAAAGUGGCUUCAUAUUGGCUCAUAAAAUUGGACUCUGUAAAACAACGAAAAGUUUUGGACAUAGUGAAAACAAGCAUUCGUACAGUUCUUCCACGCAUCUGGAAGGUGCCUGAUGUCGAAGAAGUAAAUUUAUAUCGGAUUUUCAACCGGGUUUUUAAUCGCUUACUCUGGAGUCAUGGCCAAGGGCUCUGGAACUGUUUCUGUGAUUCAGGAUCCUCUUGGGAGAGUAUAUUCAAUAAAAGCCCGGAGGUGGUGACUCCUUUGCAGCUCCAGUGUUGCCAGCGCCUGGUGGAGCUUUGUAAACAGUGCCUGCUAGUGGUUUACAAAUAUGCAACUGACAAAAGAGGAUCACUUUCAGGCAUUGGUCCUGACUGGGGUAAUUCCAGGUAUUUACUACCAGGGAGUACCCAAUUCUUCUUGAGAACACCAACCUACAGCUUGAAGUACAAUUCACCUGGAAUGACUCGCUCCAAUGUUUUGUUUACAUCCAGAUAUGGCCAUUUGUGAAACAGAAGGGAAGAUCACCAUUGGUUAUACAUAACAGCAAUUCAUUUUUUUCCCCUAAAGUUGAACAUGCAAAGAACAUGACCAUUAAGUGCUGUUUUAUGUAUAUAAGACAUAUAUAUGUGUGAAAAUAUAUGCACAUAUGCACCCAAAUAACAUAUAUUUAUUAUAUUAAAUAAUAUAUGAAAGAAGAAUUAGCAGAAAAUGGAAUAUAAGACUUAACCUUUCUGGAAAUGUAAUAAACCAUGUUAAAAUUGUUUACACAAAUAUGUGAAUGUCUAGAACUUGCUAGGUUUAUAAUUAAUUCCUUCCUACUAGAAAUGUUAUUUUUGCUGCAGAGUAUAUAAAACAAAUUGAUCUUGAAGAUCCAAUUACAGUGUUAAAUUAUUUUCUAGAUAACAUGCCUUUUGACCUGAAAAAGGGUUUAGUAUAAUACCUUAAAAAUUCUCAUAUAUAGUAGCCAUUUUAAAUGAAACAAAAAGAUUUAGAAGCCUGGUGUUGCUUGAUGAUAAGAUUAAGAAGUUUAAAACGGGUUUAUCAUUACUAUAGCACACUGUAAAGUACUAGAAAAGUCAUAACCUGAUUCUCUAACCUUUUUAUUCCUCUAUGUGGAAAUUUAGCUACUUGUAAUAAUGUACAUUUUCAGUAAGGAUCUGGUAAGAUCAUACUAUGAUCUAAAAUGAAAGACAGGCUGGGUGCGGUGGCUCACGCCUGUAAUCCCAGCACUUUGGGAGGCCGAGGUGAGUGGAUCACCGGAGGUCAGGAGUUUGAGACUAGCCUGGCCAACAUGGUGAAACCCCAUCUCUACUAAAAAUACAAAAAUCAGCUGGGUGUGGUGGUAAGUGCCUGUAAUCCCAGCUACUUGGGAGGCUGAGACAGGAGAAUCACUUGAACCUGGGAGGCGGAGGUUGCAGUGAGCCGAGAUCGUGCCAUUGCAUUCCAGCCUGGGUGAUGAGAGUGAAACUCUGUCUCAAAAAUAAAUAAAUAAAUAAAUAAAUAAAUAAAUAAAUAAAUAAAUAAAAAGAUUAAAUAAAUAAAAUGGAAGACAAUCCAAUGGGUUAAAAAUAAAAUGUAAACUAGCUUUCAUUUUUACUUUUCAUAGAGAAUCACAUAAAGGAACAGAAAAUGAUGGUAACAAAAUCUUUCUAUAUGGCUUUUAUGUCUUAUACCACUCAUUUUUAUUUGGAAAGUAUAUCUUUGAUGGGUUUAACAUAUGGUUAAAUACAAUUUCUCCUGUUUUGCAGAAGUAGAAGAGCUGACACAUUUCGCUCAUUUUAGUGUUAUAGGAUAAUGAGACAAACUUAUUUUUAUAAAUCUCUCAAGGUUGAAAUCAACUUAUAUUUGCAAAGUCUAAUACAGUAGUUUCUCAUUGCACCACAGAAACAGUUAAAGGAUUGUGAAUAGAAGAUUUCAAUGAUCACAUAUUACAAGUCAUCAGUGUACCCUUGAGGGUUUUUAAAAAAUCAAAGCAGAGAACGAAGUGUUCUUGUCCAAAAGUUGUUAUGCAUAAGUUUCAUAGCAGUUUACUUCCUUUUCUUAAAUACAGUUUUUAAAACCAAGAAUGAGCUUUCAGUUUUCCAUAAAAAUAUAAGCUGUACUACUUUGACAUUGAAAUAAUCAGUGCAGCCAUCACUUCUUAGAAUUUAUUUAAACUUCUUCUCCCAACAGUUUUAUUUUCUCCUAGCUGCUAAUUAUUUUCAAAAUUCAUGAACGUUUUACCUCCUUUUGCUAUUCUGAAAGUUAUUUCAAGAAGCGGCCCCAAAGCAGGAGAACUGAGAGGGGCAAAUUGGCCUGGUUUAAUUCACAGCCUGAAUAAUUGGCAACCUAAAGUUGUAAGUUAUAGAUGUAUUUUGCUUUUCAAGCCAUCUUCUGAGCCUUUUUUAGGCUGAAAUGAUUUGUUUCUUUCCCAAAUUAUUGCUAGCUACUUGAUUUUUUAAGACUACCUAACAUCCACAUUUGGUAGAUACUUUUCCUCUGUGCAUGCAUCCCGAAGAAGAAUUUGCUAUUUGUGGAAGAAGAGGAUAAGGGUAUCAGAAUGAAGGAAAUUACGUGACUACACUGUUUGUGACUCCAUUUUGUGAAUUCUUAAAUAUGUUAUGGAUUUUUUUUAGAAAAAAUAAUGCAAAAAUUGGGAUAUUACAGAAUCACCAUAAGGAUGGUCAACAAGUAAUAAGUCUUUUCAUGGAGUUCAUUUUUCUUUUAAAUUCAUGAUUUGGCCACAAAUAUAUAUAUAUAACUUUAAGUGUCUGAUAUAUGAUAACAGCCCAGUUUCUUGGCCACUCAUUUGCGUUAUCUUAAAUCACAAAUAAUUACUUAAUUUGCUGGAGUGUGAGCUUUGCAACUUUUGUACCAGAGCAAAAUUUUUAUUUAAAACAAAAAAUAAGAAUGUCCAUCACUAGGAGAAACACUCCUCCCAGAAAACACACACACACACACACACACACACACAAUUUAAAAACUGAGUAAAUUUAAAUGUAUGAAAGUACCCCACAAAUUGAUUUCAACAAAUAAAUUUCAUUUCUCUAGCUACUUAUGUCUGGCCUUAUUUUGAGUGUUACAAUUUUAUUGCCUUCCUUUGCCUAUUUAGACUGAUGUAGUUUGAUAUGAUGAAGUUGUGAAUAAAAGCCUUGUGUUCAUUAUUUAUAUAUACUACCUGGUAUGCUAUGGACUGUGUCUGCUGUAGUGCUAUUCCCUAAUGAGCAACUAAGAAGAGAAGACACAACAAUAAACCAUGGAAGUGUUGGGAGGCCAUGGAAAUGAUUUAGAGAUAUAAAAUAUUCCCCAGUUUUUAUUAUAAGUUUUUAUUCAUGGGUUAAAACAUAUCAGCAUAAGUGAUAGUACAGGUGUGACUCCCUUUUCUAGGAGAGAAAAUAGCUUUAUUCGAAAACUCCAAAAGCUACUUAAUCUUACAGAGGUUUUUAAUAGGGGAACUGGGUUUACUUACAAUGAAAGCAUAUUUUCAUUUUGCUAUAGAAAACAUAUCCUGCUCAUUCAGUAAAUCUAAGAUUGGAAUGCUUUCUAGAACUAUGCAAUAUUUGAAUAAUUUCUAGAAAUGUCUAAGAAACAACCUUUUUUAUUUGAAACCAUCACUUACAAACGUAGUCUGAGACUGCAAAUUAGUUUUCACUUGAAUAAUCCAUCAUUAUAGAUUAGUUACCAUUUGCUCUAUAUAAUCUAUUGAAGGAACUAUUGUUAUUCAUAUUUUGAUUAAUUUUACUAGCAACAAAUUUUUAUUUUAGUAGCAUUGCGUUUACCUUAAAUAUGUAAAAAUGAAGUUGUAACAGGAUCAAAUAUGGAAAUGGCAAUGGUAACUCUGCCUAGAACAUAGUUGAAUGUCCUUGGUUGUCUGUAAGAUGCAAAGAUCUAUACAAAUUUUAUCAUAGGUCAAAAUUAUUUCUAAAUACACAGUUUCAACUAUUUCUUCCUCCCUAAAACUAAAACCAAACCAAACCCAAAUGAAGAAACCUAAACUUCUUUUCAUCUAAUAGUUAUACCCAACUAGAUAGAUAAUAGUAGCUUCUAGACAUCAAUAAAAAGAUUUUAUUUCAAUUGUCUUUUUAAUUUGUAAAAUAUAUGAGUAUGGAAUUUUGUAUCUAACUUGAAAUUUCAGAUGUUUUAAUAAUUCAAAUACUUUCUUCUUUAGCAUGUCAAAGUACUAAUAGUUUAAAAAUCUCUUUAGAUCUAAGCAUAUACAUUACUCGACUUUUUCAAAAGUAUCAAAAAAUUGAUAGCUGCAGAAAUGUCAUUAUUUGAUUUUCUAAAAAACAUUGAUUCAUUCUUAAAUGUAUAUUCUUUAAAAAAUAGUAAAUACCUCAAGAGUGACAGAAAACUUUCCUUUUCCGUUCUGUAAUGCUAAUUUAAACUUUGAGUCUUAGUUUACAUGGUCAUAGGGGUUAAAUAAAACGUAUAAGUGUACAAUUAAUUGUGUUCUUGUGACCUGAUGAUUUUUUGAAAAUUUGCUUUUCUCUUUAAAUUAAGAAAUUUAAGUUUUCAAGGGCCACAUUAGUUAUCUAAAUAUUUUGGGCUAAUGUUGACUUAUAAAUAAAUAAAAAUUUAGAAAUAUAUUCAUGAUGACAAUUUUGUUACUUACACUGCCUAUUCUUUAUUUCUUCUUUUUUAGUUCAAAGGUGAAAUUUUGACCUUUGUAUUAACAAAGCCUCAAGAAAAGAGAAAUUCUGCCUUUUAAACAUUGGUUUUCCUUGCAUUUUAUGGUGGUGUGCUUUUGCCUCAGCAAUAAUAAAACAUAAAAUAUGUUGUUGCAUCAAGUUCAGUUUGUCUGCUGAGAUUAUUUUUAAGAACCAGGUUGAAGUCUCUAUGCCUAAAAAAGCAUUUAUUGUCUGGAUCCAUAUAAAGCAAGAUACAUGGCUACAAAUAAGUCUUGCAACCAAAAUUGGUAUAUUAAAAUUUACUGCACACUUUGAGAUUGCUGCCAUUUUUUGGUGCUUUUUGGACCUCGUCAUAAAGGGAUGUAUCGUAUAUUGAGGGAAAAUUACUCAAGUUACACAUUCUACAUUAACUGCGCUGUAUUAUCUACAGCUACAAUCAAUGGACCAAUGGUUCCUAAAUUAGUAAUAAGGCUUACCUUACAAAAGUAAUGAAAUAACACUGAUAUUUCUCUUUCAAAGGCUAACAGCAAUUCUUGGUCCUGAGCUAUUCGGUUCAUACAGUAACUACUGUACAUGCUACAACAUCUGAAUAUUAAUGGUUUUGCUGCAGAUUCUGGGUAUGAGGAUUAGCUUAAAAGCAAUACAUUUGCUAACAUGAAUCAUGACUCAUAUUAUCCCCAUGUGCUUUACUACCUGUAUUUGAAUGCAAAUGUUGUUACAGAAAAUAUGCUUGAAAUGUCAAUACAGUGUGCAAUUAGUGUUGCAUUGUCAUGCUCCAGCAUGUGAUAUCUGUAUGGUGAAGUUAUUUCAAUUACUCUGAUAUGUUACUAUAAUAAAAAAGUUUAACCUAAGAAA
rnacentral:sRNA from 1 species